rnacentral:misc_RNA from 1 species
AGAAACUAGAAGCAGGGGAAACCCACUCGUCUUGUUGGCCUCUCCCCACUGCCCAGUGCCCACACAUAUAUAACGGGCCGGCGCAUCCACUCGAAACUCGAUCUCCACUGACAAACGAAGCUCUCCUCGCCGCACUCGCGCCUGCUCGACCGCUCCAACAAGACCCUCUCGCGCCACCGCAGCAGCGUCGUCGUCGCUACGCGGAUGCUGUCUUCUCACCGCGAGAGCCUGCUGCCCUACGCGCCGGGGCGGCGGGCGGCGGUGCUGCUCGACCACCGGCGGUACCGCCCGAACGUCGAGGUGGCGCCCAGCUGCCCGCGCUGCGACUCGCCCAACACCAAGUUCUGCUACUACAACAACUACAGCCUCAGCCAGCCCCGCUACUUCUGCAAGGGCUGCCGCCGCUACUGGACCAAGGGCGGCUCCCUCCGCAACGUGCCCGUCGGCGGCGGGUGCCGGAAGAACCGCAGCAGGGGCAAGCCGGUCCGAGCCGUGGCCGUCGAUUCCGUGGCGCCCAGCAGCGGUGGCGCGGCGGCGUUCACGCACCGGGCGUCGGCGUCGUCGUCGUCGGCGUCCCCCGCCACGCUGCGGCCGGACAUGCUACUGGAAGGCAUGCUCGGCAGCCCAAGCGAGCUGUGCCAGCUGACGGUGACGGACGACGACGCAGCGGAAAACCCGGCUGUGGCGCCCGAUGGACCCAGGAUCGACCUGGCGUUGCUGUACGCCAAGUUCUUGAACCAACAGCCGCCGGCGCCCGAGCGGCGCGCCGUCCUGCCGGAAUCGCUCGUCGUCGACACCUUGAGCGGGUCGUCGUCGAGCGACGUGGGUCCCGUCGUCCCAUCGCGGGAUCAUCAGCCGUUCACGACGCAAGACGACGGGCUGGGCGAGCUGUCCGCGGCGGCGAGCGCAGAGCCGAGCGCUCCUCCGCCACAGUCGUCGUCGUGUGCGGAGGCGCUUAUUGGGGCGUUCGGCAUGGACCAGCGCUGCUACGACUCUCUGGGUUUGCCACCAGACGGCGGGGAUCUAGUCCUACCGUCGACGUGGCCUCUUCUUGGGGCCAAGUACGAGCUGUUCGAUCCGCUACCUGAGGACGCCGUGAGCCUUCAGGACGGCUUCGCCGGCGACGAGGACGUGUGGAGCGGCGCCUUGGCUUGUCAAGGGCUGGAAGCAGCUCUCUGCAGGCCGUAAUUUUUUUUAACUCGCCUCUUGAUUUUCACCGUGCUUGUGAUUGUUUUAUGCGCUCUUUUCUUUUUCCUGGUUGUGAUCGUGUUCAGGAGUAAUUUAUAUAGAGACCAUAUAUACAGCAUGUCCAGAUCAUGCAUUAUGAUGGAUCAACGGGUAUACAUGUGAGAUAUAGAAAGAACUUAAUAAAAUUUUGACAUUUUGUUUGACAAUUUCCCUGUCCCUUUUUCUUCCCGCGAAAAGACACUCUGUUCCUUCUUUUUUUUUUCUUUUUUGCUUUGUUUUUUGCGAAAAGACACUUUGCCUGUUCGCAGAUGUAAGAUAUUUUGGACAUGGUCAUGUGACUAGCUCUCUUUUGUUGAAUUUUUUUAACAAAACCUUACAUUACUCGAUUAUGAAACUAUUAUUCGUAACGAAUUCAACGAUGUUGUAUCCAUGUGGCCAAUCUAGAUUGAUUUAGAGCAUAUUCAACAAAGUGACUCAAACUAGUGCCCAAAAUUUUUUAAAAAACUACAACAUAUAACAUGUUUAGGGCACUAAAAACAAGUUGAGCUCCAACAGUAAACCAUAAAUCAUGUAUUUCAGAAAAUAAACUAUACUUUUAGAAAAGAAAAUGUUAAGAACAAUGUAGAAAAUAAGGAUAUGACACUAAUUUGAGGUGUAGUAUAUUUGGGUCACUUUAUGGUGUGCUUUAUAAUUUUUUUGGUAAAAAUGCAAAAUAUGGCACCGUUGAAGUUAUUUUUUAUGAGUUGAGACUUAUAUUUAAAGUUAGGAGACUCAUUUAAGACACUAUUUAUGCAACCUAUAGUAAAAACAAGACAACUACAAACUUGAAGCGAUAUGCGCUUUCAACUGAUCGUUCCAUCUAAUCUACUAUCUAUCAAUGGUAUAAUGUCAUAUUCAUAAUAUUUAUGAUUCUUUUCCACUUCGAUCGAAUACCAUAUUUAAGAAGUCCCUCGGCAAAAAAAUUGUAACGUGAGCCCGACCAGGAUUAUGUGUCAACAACUACUCACCUUGUGUAUCGCUAUGCACUAUACAAGUGUAACACUAGAAUGGAGAACCAACUUCUUUGGUAUAUUUAUCAUCUCCCACACCCUUCAAAUGACUUGUUGUGGUAGUAUUUAUAGUAUCUAAGUCCAAAACUAGGCGUUGUCAAAAGUGCAGCAAUUUGUGUAUUCAUCAGACAUGUUAGGUGAUGACAUCGGACAUCAUAUUGGACUUGUGACAACUCGAUCAAUGAAAUUUGACCAUU